rnacentral:lncRNA from 1 species
CAUUAAUGGCUACUUUUUCUUCAGUUGAAAUAAAGUGAUAGUUAUUUCAUGUCAAAGAUAUACCUUAUCCUGACUUAUGCUGAAAAAUUUAGCAUACCUUUAAAUUGCAUAUUAUAGCAUACUGGUUCUGGAAAAUUUGAAAGUUCAAAACCAGGUACCUCUGAUAAAAUACGGGGCAAAUGUGCCUUCCUAUUAAAAUUUUUAUAAUUCUUUACUAUUCCAAAGAAACAAGUCCUCCAGCUUACAUUUAAUACCAAAACUACUCAAUUAUUUCACCUUUUUUAAAAUAUAUACAACUAUGCAUAGGAACUAUUUUU